rnacentral:misc_RNA from 1 species
CUGUUCGAGCGUCAUUUGAACCCUCAAGCUCUGCUUGGUAUUGGGUGCUGGCCUACUCUGGCCCACCCGUAACUCGUUGGCGGUAGGCGCCGGCUUCUCAAGCGUAGCAAAAACCUCGCUUGGGUACCGGUGAUUACAGCCAGAAACACCACAACCAAAAGUUUGACCUCGGAUCAGGUAGGGAUACCCGCUGAACUUAA